AAAAACAUGUCUUUUUAGUUAUUUAAUAUAAAGUCUGACCUGCCCACUGAAUUUAUUUUUGAAGGGCCGCAGUAUUUUGACUGUGCAAAGGUAGCAUAAUCAUUAGUCUUUUAAUUGAAGGCUGGUAUGAAUGGUUGGAUGAGGUACAAGCUGUGUCAUAAAAAUUAAUAUUUGAAUUUAACUUUUUAGUCAAAAGGCUAAAAUUUAAUUGAAAGACGAGAAGACCCUAUAGAGCUUUAUAUAAUGAUUAUUUAAUUUAUUAAGAUUUAUUAAAUUUAAUUAUUUUAUUGUAUUUUGUUGGGGUGACAAUAAAAUUUAAAAAACUUUUAUUAUUAUUUUACAUUUAUUUAUGAUUUUAUGAU
rnacentral:rRNA from 1 species